AGAGAAGGUACCGACACCGUCAGGUGGUGGAGGAAGGGGAUCUACAGGGAGAAGUCGAGGCCCGGGAUGGCCUUGAAGAGGAGGAGUAGAGGAAUGUGGAGCGAAUGGUCCAUCCAGCCUCACAUACACUGAGGGCAGUGCAAGAUCCAGUGUCCGUUAGAAAGUAAGGAUGAGCGUGAGGCCAGGAGCUCGAAGCCUGGGCGCGUGCACAGCUCGCUUGUCUCCCUGAGGCGGACGCUGAUUGGCGGCAGUGUGGACCGCAUCUACUGAGCAUUCUCAACAUCCUAGGCGGCACCUGGGACAGCUCCACUUGCUCCCUCCAGCCUCGCACCCACCGCUGAUUGGCUGCGGAGCUCCCUCCCGCCCUGCUUGCUGUGCGGAGUGGCAGGGCUUUGAGUCUAAUUGGUCCGCGGACUCAGGUUUCAGGUCUCUAAGACAGAUCUUAUCCUCCAGCCCGUCCCCCACCCCUUCUAACUGGCUGCGGAAUUUGCUCCUCCUCCGUCCCCCUAUGAAAAAACUAGGCCCCGAACCUCUUUCGCUAACAGCCUUGGAAUCUUCCUCUGCAAGGGCUCAGGAUACCACCAGUUCUUUGCUCCUGUCUUGCCAACGAGUGGCUCUCGUUGCAAACCCUUUCAUCUCUCUCUCUCAACCCCUGACAGUCUAUGAAAUGUAUGUCUGUGAUUGGUUGGGAGGCCCUCAAGAGCCAGCCGGGAUUCAGGUGCCUGUGGGCAGCUCCCCUUCCUGCCUCUUGCCUUGCUUCACUACUGAUUGGCUGCAGAACGCCCCCUGCCUCACCUGGAAGUAUGCGGGGGCAGGGAAGGCACCAGAGGGGCAGUGCCUUGACCCGUGAUUGGUCAAAUGCUCAUUGCCUGUCAGCUGAGGCAGGGUUAACUGCGUACUUCACGUACCAGCCUCCCCUGCCCGCCCCACAACCCCACCCCAGCCAACACACCAGAGAGAAUGGCCCAUUGCUUUGCCCCACCAUUAAGUUGAUCAGAGCUAAGAGCCCAGCCAGCUGGCGUUCUACCAGGAAGGGCUGUAGUGCUGACAGGCGACUAGCUCGAACGGCGCCAGUCCAAGAGCACUACUUGCCUCUCUCCUUCCAAGAGCUCGGCUGCGGUUGCACUGCUGAUUGGCUGGCUCCGCUCUUUUCUAAGUGGCUUAGCCUUGCGUUCGCGCAGGGACACAUCCAAUGAGGAGCGAGGGAGCUCUUAGGAGGCGGGCAUUGUUCGACCGGUUCCACUUCUGAUUGGUCCAGGGGCUUGCUUCUUCUCUUUUGCUUGAUCAGAGGGGCGGGAGGCGGGAGCCCAGCUCAACGGUUAUCAGGCGGCAGUUGGAGUUCUGUCCCUGUACUUCAAAAGUUCAGCUUCAGGGCUCGGUGGAGUGUUGUCUGGCGCCUACUUCCCCGUAGCUAGCUGAGGAACUGGGGAGGGAACACGGGGGGAGGAGGACCUGGGACUGUCGCUGCAGCUCCCAGUCGGGAUGGAGACCGACUGAGGCGAGUGGCGGACCGGCGGGUGCAAACCCCUCAAAAAGCUGGAAGAGUCAGGUGCUGUAAUAGUAGUAACAGCAGCUCCCGCUCACCGAGCCCUUUUGGUGUACCGCUGUGCGUGCAUCAUCUCACUGACUCCUUCUAAAUAACCCUGUGAGGGAGCAGAUUACUCUGCCGGUUAACCUCCGAGGGUCAUUUGUCGCCCACAGCGAAAGCCGGCAUUGCUGGAACUCCAACCUUGUUCUAGAGAGUCCGGCAUUCGAGCUACACUAUGAUUAAGUAGGGUUGAUCUUGUAGAUGUGGGGUGGGGCCUGAUGUGAUCACCUUGGCCCUGGCUUACCUCGUCCAUACGUGAAGGUGUUUGGGUUUUGGACUAGGAUCUGAUCCUGAAGGCUUCACUCAGUACAUAUGCUCAAGUCCUCAAACUUUUAGGUAAAUGCAUUUGCAUUCUGGGAAAGGAUAAUUUUACUGUUUAUUUCUGAGAAAGAGAGAGAGCGAGCCCGAGCGGGGGAGGGGCAAAGAGAGAGCGAGACAGAGGAUCCGAAACAGGCCCCGUGCUGACAGCACAGAGCGGGACGCGGGACUCGAACUCAUGAACUGUGAGAUCAUGACCUGAGCUACAGUAGCCGCUUACCUGACUGAGCCACCCAGGCACCCGAGGGAGUCGUUUAGACAACAGAAAUUUUUUCCCCACCCCACAGUUCUGGAGGCUGGAAGUCCAAGAUCAAACUGCCAAUAGAGUUGGUUUCUCCUGAGGAUUCUCUCCUUGGCCUGCAGAUGUCUGCCUUCUCACUGUGUCCUCCUAUGGCCUUUCCCCUAUGUACGCACACUCCUUGUGUCUCCUCCUCUUUUGAUGAGGUGCCAUGUAAACUGUUUUGUGUCAGUAAACUGUUUGUGUCAGUUCACAUAUUGAAACCUAAUCCCCAAUGUGGUAUUUGGAGAUGGGGGGGCUUUGAGAGGCGAUUAGGUCAUCAGGGGGUGGAGCCCUUAUGAAUAGGAUUAGCGCCUUUAUAAAAAAAGGCCCCAGAGAUCUCCCUUGCCCCUUCUACCAUGAGAUGUUCAGUAAGUAGACCGUCAUCCAUGAACCAGAUCCACCAGUGCCUUGAUAUGGGACAUCCCAGCCUCCAGAAAAAUAGAUUUCUGUUGUUUAUAAGCUACCCAGCCCAUGGUGUUCUAUUACGGCAGCCUGAGCAGACUAAGACAUAGUCCUAUUGGAUUAAGGCCCUACCCUUAUGACCGCAUUUACCCUUAAUUCCCUCCUUAAAGGACCCCCCUCUCCAAAUACAGCCAUGUUGGGGGUUAGGGCUUCAACAUAGGAAUUUUGGAGGGGACACAAUUCAGUCUGUAACAGAAUAUCUACCACUAAAGGCCUCAAAGUUUGGUAGGGGAGAGACAAAUUACUUACUUCAGAGGGAGGGGGCACAUCAGAAUGGUUAAGAUGUUAGCUCUGGGAACCAGACUGACAGGUUUGGGUCCUGCCUGUACCACUUAUCAACUGUGUGAACUUGAGCAAUUUUCUUCCACUUCCUGUGCCUCAUAAGAACCAAAUGAAUAGACACCCCUGAUAUUCUUAGAAUAGCCCCUGGCAUGGAGCAAGCGCUGAUGGGCUAUUGUUGGCCAUUGUUAUUGGUUGCAAGUAAACUUAAAACUAUACUAAGUGCUCUGAAGAAAAAUCACAAGAGAGAGACUUUAAGAAAGUAAAACAGGACGCUAACCUGGCCAGGGUUUUCAAGAAAGGCUUCCUGGAGGAAGUGAAUGCUUGAAGUAAGAUUUUCCAAAUAAUCACUAACACGACUAGGAGAAGGGUGAGUCUUCUGGGCAAUGGUCAGAUAGGUCCCAGAGCUCUGGGGUGAGAGGAGGCAUGGCCCCGAAGUCCAUUGUUGUUGGAAUGGAGAGAGCAAAGUGAGAGGGAGCAGGGGAAGCAGGGGAGAGUGAGGCUGGAUGUGGUGGGCGGGGCCUGGCCCAGAAGGCCAUGUUCAGGAGGGCUGGCAUUUCCUAAGAACCACGCGCAGCGCAAAGUCGCAGGAGGAGGUGUUUAUUACUUUUCAAAGUUUUUGUUUUUAUUUAUUUUGAGAGAGCAGGGAGAGGCAGAGAGAGAGGGAGUCAGAAUCCCAAGCAGGCUCCUUGGCAGAGCCUGAUGCGGGGCUCAAACCCACAAACUGCAAGAUGUUUAUUUUUGCGAGAUGUUUGACCUGAGCUGAAAUCAACGGACUGAGCCACCCAGGUGCCCCCCUUCCCCCCCCCCUUUUUUUUUUUUUUACAGAGAAUGGUUUAACCCUUCCUGGCAAUGCUGCAAGCCCUGCCACGUGAACAAACUUGGGCUGGCCUGCGGUAGACACAUGGCCCAGUUCAGAGCCAUUACCCCAGCCACCUACACCCACUGCCAGCCAGCCAUACAUGUGAGUGAAACCACCCCAGACCAAACAGCCCCCAGUCACCCCACUAGCUGACUGCAGCUGCGAGAGUCAGCCCAGGUGAGACCAACUGGAAAACUGAACUGCCUGGCUGGGCUCAGCCCAAAUGGUCCGGAAGAAUCAGGAGCUACAAAAUAAUAAUUAUUUUAAGCCACUGUGUUUUGGGUGGUUAAAAAAAAAGCUAACUGACAUACCCUGGACCAGAGUAGUUUCUAGGCAACAAAUAUCACUUACCUGGAUUCUGGGUCUCGAAAGUUGAAAAAUUCCUUCUGUUUCCAGACUGGUUUCUUCGAUUUUUUGAACGAAUUUUUAUGAGAUGAACUUAUUU